rfam:Treponema pedis str. T A4, complete genome.
UCCGACACGGACGGCGGUGAUUUUAAGCGUAUAAGUUUUGCGUAUGCAAAACUUAUUAUCAAAAACUGUACAAGGAUGUACGGUUUUUGAUGGAG